GCCGAGCUUGGUCACGCCAGCUUAUGACCCAAGUGGGGGCACGGGGGUGUUGGGACUUUGGUUCAGCAUUAGCUGGUUGGGUUCAGAAUGGCUAUAUUCUGACUCGCCCGUUCCAAGCAAAGAGUUGGGCUAUGUGGCUUGGGCGAAGGCUCUGGGCUUCAUGGUUCCUAAAGAGGAGGGCAAUGCGUGAGGCUGGUUUCACAGAGCAGCGAUCACCUCCCUCUCUUUGCAGUGGAAGGAUAACGUGUCGGUGCCUUCUGCAUCCCACCAUGACCCGCUAGGCUGCUCCAUUCGAACCAACACUUUU
rnacentral:SRP_RNA from 1 species